UGGGGCUAGGGUAAGGUUUAAGGUUUUUGGCGUUAGGGUUAAAAUCACUGUCCAAAACCUUUGUAGGAACUCUUUUCCAACCUUUUGGAGUUAGUUAGACCACAAAAAAAUUGUAAAAAGGAAAAAAAUAUUUGGGGUGUUCGGGCUUCCUGAAGGUAUUAGGUAAUGGGGCUAGGGUCGGGUUUAAGGUUUUUGGCGUGAGGGUUAAAAUCACUGUCCAAAACCUUUGUAGGAACUCUUUUCCAACCUUUUGGAGUUAGUUAGACCAAAAAUAAACAAAAAAUGAAAAAAAAUAUUUGGGGUGUUCGGUCUUCCUGAAGGUAUUAGAUUAUGGGGCUAGGGAAAGGUUUAAUGUAUUUGGUGUUAGGGUUAAAAUCACUGUCCAAAACCUUUUUAGGAACAUAUUUCAGACCUUAUGGAGUUAGUUACACCAAAAAAAAAAUUGUAAAAUGAAAAAAAAAAUGUUUGGGGUGUUCGGGCUUCCUGAAGGUAAUACCCGGGUAUUAGGUUAUGGGGCUAGGGUCGGGUUUAAGGUUUUUGGCGUUAGGGUUAAAAUCACUGUCCAAAACCUUUGUAGGAAAUCUUUUCCAACCUUUUGGACUUAGUUAGACCCAAAAAAAAAAAAAAAAUGAAAAAAAAAAUGUUUGGGGUGUUCGGGCUUCCUGAAGGUAAUACCCGGGUAUUAGGUUAUGGGGCUAGGGUCGGGUUUAAGGUUUUUGGCGUUAGGGUUAAAAUCACUGUCCAAAACCUUUGUAGGAACUCUUUUCCAACGUUUUGGAGUUAGUUAGACCCAAAAGAAAUGAAAAAUGAAAAAAAAUAUAUUUGGGGUUUUCGGGCUUUCUGAAGGUAAUACCCUGGUAUAAGGUUAUGGGGCUAGGGUAAGGUUUAAGGUUUUUGGCGUUAGGGUUAAAAUCACUGUCCAAAACCUUUGUAGGAACUCUUUUCCAACCUUUUGAAGUUAGUUACACCAAAAAAAAAAAAAAAGGAAAAAAAAAAAUGUUUGGGGUGUUCGGGCUUCCUGAAGGUAAUACCCGGGUAUUAGGUUAUGGGGCUAGGGUAAGGUUUAAGGUUUUUGGCAAGGGGGUUAAAAUCACUGUCCAAAACCUUUGUAGGAACUCUUUUCCAACCUUUUGGAGUUAGUUAGACCCAAAAGAAAUGAAAAAUGAAAAAAAAAUAUUUGGGGUUUUGGGCUUCCUGAAGGUAAUACCCGGGUAUUAGGUUAUGGGGCUUUGGAAAGGUUUAAGGUUUUUGGCGUUAGGGUUAAAAUCACUGUCCACAUCCUUUGUAGGAACUCUUUUCCAAAGUUUUGGAGUCAGUUAGACCAAAAAAAAAUGAAAAAUGAAAAAAAAAUAUUUGGGGUGUUCGGGCUUCCUGAAUGUAAUACCCGGGUAUUAGGUUUAAGGCUAGGGUAAGGUUUAAGUUUUGGCGUUAGGGUUAAAAUCACUGUCCAAAACCUUUGUAGGAACUCUUUUCCAACCUUUUGGAGUUAGUUAGACCAAAAAAAAAUUAAAAUGAAAAAAAAAUAUUUGGGGUUUUGGGCUUCCUGAAGGUAAUACCCGGGUAUUAGGUUUUGGGGCUAGGGUAAGGUUUAAGGUUUUUGGCGUUAGGGUUAAAAUCCCUGUCCAAAACCUUUGUAGGAACUCUUUUCUAACCUUUUGGAGUUAGUUAGACCAAAAAAAAAAAAAAAAAAAAAAUUGGGGUGUUCGGGCUUCCUGAAGGUAAUACCCGGGUAUUAGGUUAUGGGGCUAGGGAAAGGUUUAAUGUUUUUGGCGUUAGGGUUAAAAUCACUGUCCAAAACCUUUGUAGGAACUCUUUUCCAACCUUUUGGACUUAGCUAGACCAAAAAAAAAAAAAAAAUGAAAAAAAAAAAUGUUUGGGGUGUUCGGGCUUCCUGAAGGUAAUACCCGUGUAUUAGGUUAUGGGGCUAGGGAAAAGUUUAAGGUUUUUGGCGUGAGGGUUAAAAUCACUGUCCAAAACCUUUGUAGGAACUCUUUUCCAACCUUUUGGAGUUAGUUAGACCCAAAAGAAAUGAAAAAUGAAAAAAAAAUAUUGGGGGUUUUGGGCUUCCUGAAGGUAAUACCCGGGUAUUAGGUUAUGGGGCUUUGGAAAGGUUUAAGGUUUUUGGCGUUAGGGUUAAAAUCCCUGUCCAAAACCUUUGUAGGAACUCUUUUCCAACCUUUUGGAGUUAGUUAGACCAAAAAAAAAUGAAAAAUGAAAAAAAAAUAUUUGGGGUGUUCGGGCUUCCUUAAGGUAAAAUCACUGUCCAAAACCUUUGUAGGAACUCUUUUCCAACCCUUUGGAGUCAGUUAGACCUAAAAAAAACGAAAAAUGAAAAAAAAUGUUUGGGGUGUUCGGGCUUCCUGAAGGUAAUACCCGGGUAUUAGGUAAUGGGGCUAGGGUAAAGUUUAAGGUUUUAGGCUUUAGGGUUAAAAUCACUGUCCAAAACCUUUUUAGGAACAUGAUUCAAACCAUUUGGAGUUAGUUAGACCAAAAAAAAAAAAAAAUGAAAAAAAAAUAUUUGGGGUGUUCGGGCUUCCUGAAGGUAAUACCCGGGUAUUAGGUUAUGGGGCUAGGGUAAGGUUUAAGGUUUUUGGCGUUAGGGUUAAAAUCACUGUCCAAAACCUUUGUAGGAACUCUUUUCCAACCUUUUGGAGUUAGUUAGACCCAAAAAAAUGAAAAAUGAAAAAAAAAAAAAUAUAUUUGGGGUUUUCGGGCUUCCUGAAGGUAAUACCCGGGUAUUAGGUUAUGGGGCUAGGGUAAGGUUUAAGGUUUUUGGCGUUAGGGUUAAAAUCACUGUCCAAAACCUUUGUAGGAACUCUUUUCCAACCUUUUGGAGUUAGUUAGACCAAAAAUAAACAAAAAAUGAAAAAAAAAUGUUUGGGGUGUUCGGUCUUCCUGAAGGUAUUAGAUUAUGGGGCUAGGGAAAGGUUUAAUGUUUUUGGUGUUAGGGUUAAAAUCACUGUCCAAAACCUUUUUAGGAACAUAUUUCAGACCUUAUGGAGUUAGUUACACCAAAAAAAAAAAUUGUAAAAUGAAAAAGAAAUAUUUGGGGAGUUCGGGCUUCCUGAAGGUAAUACCCAGGUAUUAGGUUAUGGGGCUAGGGUAAGGUUUAAGGUUUUUGGCGUUAGGGUUAAAAUCACUGUCCAAAACCUUUGUAGGAACUCUUUUCCAACCUUUUGGAGUUAGUUAGACCACAAAAAAAUUGUAAAAAGGAAAAAAAUAUUAUGGGUGUUCGGGCUUCCUGAAGGUAUUAGGUAAUGGGGCUAGGGUCGGGUUUAAGGUUUUUGGCGUGAGGGUUAAAAUCACUGUCCAAAACCUUUGUAGGAACUCUUUUCCAACCUUUUGGAGUUAGUUAGACCAAAAAUAAACAAAAAAUGAAAAAAAAAUGUUUGGGGUGUUCGGUCUUCCUGAAGGUAUUAGAUUAUGGGGCUAGGGAAAGGUUUAAUGUAUUUGGUGUUAGGGUUAAAAUCACUGUCCAAAACCUUUUUAGGAACAUAUUUCAGACCUUAUGGAGUUAGUUACACCAAAAAAAAAAUUGUAAAAUGAAAAAAAAAAUGUUUGGGGUGUUCGGGCUUCCUGAAGGUAAUACCCGGGUAUUAGGUUAUGGGGCUAGGGUCGGGUUUAAGGUUUUUGGCGUUAGGGUUAAAAUCACUGUCAAAAACCUUUGUAGGAAAUCUUUUCCAACCUUUUGGACUUAGUUAGACCCAAAAAAAAAAAAAAAAUGAAAAAAAAAAAUGUUUGGGGUGUUCGGGCUUCCUGAAGGUAAUACCCGGGUAUUAGGUUAUGGGGCUAGGGUCGGGUUUAAGGUUUUUGGCGUUAGGGUUAAAAUCACUGUCCAAAACCUUUGUAGGAACUCUUUUCCAACCUUUUGGAGUUAGUUAGACCCAAAAGAAAUGAAAAAUGAAAAAAAAUAUAUUUGGGGUUUUCGGGCUUUCUGAAGGUAAUACCCUGGUAUAAGGUUAUGGGGCUAGGGUAAGGUUUAAGGUUUUUGGCGUUAGGGUUAAAAUCACUGUCCAAAACCUUUGUAGGAACUCUUUUCCAACCUUUUGAAGUUAGUUACACCAAAAAAAAAAAAAAAAAGGAAAAAAAAAAAUGUUUGGGGUGUUCGGGCUUCCUGAAGGUAAUACCCGGGUAUUAGGUUAUGGGGCUAGGGUAAGGUUUAAGGUUUUUGGCAAGGGGGUUAAAAUCACUGUCCAAAACCUUUGUAGGAACUCUUUUCCAACCUUUUGGAGUUAGUUAGACCCAAAAGAAAUGAAAAAUGAAAAAAAUAUAUAUUUGGGGUUUUGGGCUUCCUGAAGGUAAUACCCGGGUAUUAGGUUAUGGGGCUUUGGAAAGGUUUAAGGUUUUUGGCGUUAGGGUUAAAAUCACUGUCCACAUCCUUUGUAGGAACUCUUUUCCAAAGUUUUGGAGUCAGUUAGACCCAAAAGAAAUGAAAAAUGAAAAAAAAAUAUUUGGGGUUUUCGGGCUUUCUGAAUGUAAUACCCUGGUAUGAGGUUAUAGGGCUAGGGUAAGGUUUAAGGUUUUUGGCGUUAGGGUUAAAAUCACCGCCCAAAACCUUUGUAGUAACUCUUUUCCAACCUUUUGGAGUUAGUUAGACCCAAAAAAAAUUAAAAUGAAAAAAAAAUAUUUGGGGUUUUGGGCUUCCUGAAGGUAAUACCCGGGUAUUAGGUUUUGGGGCUAGGGUAAGGUUUAAGGUUUUUGGCGUUAGGGUUAAAAUCCCUGUCCAAAACCUUUGUAGGAACUCUUUUCUAACCUUUUGGAGUUAGUUAGACCAAAAAAAAAAAAAAAAAAAAAUUAAAAAAAGAUAUUUGGGGUGUUCGGUCUUCCUGAAGGUAAUACCCGGGUAUUAGGUUAUGGGGCUAGGGAAAGGUUUAAUGUUUUUGGCGUUAGGGUUAAAAUCACUGUCCAAAACCUUUGUAGGAACUCUUUUCCAACCUUUUGGACUUAGCUAGACCAAAAAAAAAAAAAAAAUGAAAAAAAAAAAUGUUUGGGGUGUUCGGGCUUCCUGAAGGUAAUACCCGUGUAUUAGGUUAUGGGGCUAGGGAAAAGUUUAAGGUUUUUGGCGUGAGGGUUAAAAUCACUGUCCAAAACCUUUGUAGGAACUCUUUUCCAACCUUUUGGAGUUAGUUAGACCCAAAAGAAAUGAAAAAUGAAAAAAAAAUAUUUGGGGUUUUGGGCUUCCUGAAGGUAAUACCCGGGUAUUAGGUUAUGGGGCUUUGGAAAGGUUUAAGGUUUUUGGCGUUAGGGUUAAAAUCCCUGUCCAAAACCUUUGUAGGAACUCUUUUCCAACCUUUUGGAGUUAGUUAGACCUAAAAAAAAAGAAAAAUGAAAAAAAAAUAUUUGGGGUGUUCGGGCUUCCUUAAGGUAAAAUCACUGUCCAAAACCUUUGUAGGAACUCUUUUCCAACCCUUUGGAGUCAGUUAGACCUAAAAAAAACGAAAAAUGAAAAAAAAUGUUUGGGGUGUUCCGGCUUCCUGAAGGUAAUACCCGGGUAUUAGGUAAUUGGGCUAGGGUAAAGUUUAAGGUUUUAGGCUUUAGGGUUAAAAUCACUGUCCAAAACCUUUUUAGGAACAUGAUUCAAACCAUUUGGAAUUGGUUACAACAAAAAAAAUGGAAAAUGAAUAAGAAAUAUUUGGGGUGUUCGGGCUUCCUGAAGGUAAUACCCGGGUAUUAGGUUAUGGGGCUAGGGAAAGGUUUAAUAUUUUUGGCGUUAGGGUUAAAAUCACUGUCCAAAACCUUUUAAGGAACAUUUUUCAGACCUUAUGGAGUUAGUUACACCAAAAAAAAAUUGUAAAAUGAAAAAGAAAUAUUUGGGGUGUUUGGGUUUCCUGAAGGUAAUACCCGGGUAUUAGAUUAUGGGGAUUUGGUAUGGUUUAAGGUUUUUGGCAUUAGGGUUAAAAUCACUGUCCAAAACCUUUGUAGGAACUCUUUUCCAACCUUUUGGAGUUAGUUAGACCUAAAAAAAAAGAAAAAUGAAAAAAAAAUAUUUGGGGUGUUCGGGCUUCCUUAAGGUAAUACCCGGGUAUAAGGUUAUGGGGCUAGGGUAAGGUUUAAGGUUUUUGGCGUUAAGGUUAAAAUCACUGUCCAAAACCUUUGUAGGAACUCUUGUCCAACCCUUUGGAGUUAGUUAGACCUAAAAAAAACGAAAAAUGAAAAAAAAUGUUUGGGGUGUUCGGGCUUCCUGAAGGUAAUACCCGGGUAUUAGGUUAUGGGGCUUUGGAAAGGUUUAAGGUUUUUUGGGUUAGGGUUAAAAUCACUGUCCAAAACCUUUUUAGGAACAUGUUUCAGACCUUUUGGAGUUAGUUACACAAAAAAAUGUUAAAAUGAAAAAAAUAUAUUUGGGGUGUUCGGGCUUCCUGAAGGUAAUACCCGGGUAUUAGGUAAUGGGGCUUUGGUAAAGUUUAAGGUUUUAGGCUUUAGGGUUAACAUUACUGUCCAAAACCUUUUUAGGAACAUGUUUCAAACCAUUUGGAAUUGGUUACAACAAAAAAAAUGGAAAAUGAAAAAAAUAUAUUUGGGGUGUUCGGGCUUCCUGAAGGUUAUACCCGGGUAUUAGGUUAUGG
rnacentral:lncRNA from 1 species